AUUGUACAGAAGAUUUUUUGAGUUGUACAACAAACUUAGUUUUUCCUAUUUUUUCUGCUAACACGUGUAUUGUCUUCUAGCAAACCACGUACCACUUUACAGUGCAAGCAGACUAUCUUACAAAUUCCUAUGAUCCUUCUCUUUUCAACAUUGGCUUUGUUCUUCACUCUUCUCAUAGUUUCUCUACCAUUUGUUUUGAUUUUCUACUAUGUAUUCCUUUGUACGUGAAUGAUCCAAAAGGAACGAAACAUGGGAAUUUUCCUUCAUUUCUUAGCUUUGAUCAUCAAGGGUGGUCACUUAUACAUCUCUAAAUCUCUACCUGAGAAUUUAACAAAGAUAUCUUACCUGCCAAGAUUUUGAUACAAUGAGAGCUUUCAUGAAGGAAGUGUGAUCAAAUUUGAGGCCUGCUUUGUGACCAAAUUGUUCAGGAAGCUGAGUGCCUUGCUGAUGAACUCAUCAAUGCUGCCAAGGGUUCUUCAAAUAGCUAUGCUAUUAAGAAGAAGGACGAGAUUGAAAGGGUUGCCAAGGCUAAUCGUUAAGAGAUUGAUGUUGGAACAACUUUCUUGAGAGACUUUUUGGUUAUGUUAUUUUCUCAUUUCUGUUUUCAUGUAGGCAUUAUAGCAUCUACUACUCCUUAUGGAUUUAGUUUCUUAGAGGAUUUAUGUUUGGUAUUGUUAUAAAUGUUAAAUUUUGAAGUUUCUUUUUUCGGGUUCUCAGUAGAAUUUUGUUAAACA